UACAGAGGGUGCGAGCGUUAAUCGGAAUUACCGGGCGUAAAGCGUGCGUAGACGGUUAUUUAAGUCGGAUGUGAAAGCCCCGGGCUCAACCUGGGAAUUGCAUUCGAGACUGAAUAGCUAGGGUACGGUAGAGGGAAGUGGAAUUUCCGGUGUAGCGGUGAAAUGCGUAGAUAUCGGAAGGAACAUCAGUAGCGAAAGCGACUUCCUGGACCAGUACCGACGUUCAGGCACGAAAGCGUGGGGAGCAAACAGG
rnacentral:rRNA from 1 species